UAUAUAUAUAAAGUAGCUUAAACACUAGUACUUAUUACAUUGUCAAUUAAAGUUAUACAGUAUAUGUAUAAUUCUGGCCUAUGUGACCCAUAAACACUUUACAGCAGUAAUGUAGUGUGCGAGUACCACUAACCAGAGAACCUCAAACUUGCACAAAUGAGGUUUUAUGAUCGAUUUAGAUCUGGGUUAACUUUGAUAUCUGAAUAAAUGAGGUCGUGUGAUCCCAGAAUAGACUUGUGGAACCUCCCACGUGUUCUACAGCAGAGUUUCCUUGCAGUCAGUGGGAGGUUUGUGUUUGAUACAUGUAGUCUUACUCUACAUAUCUGUGGUCCUCAUUACCUCCAGUAUCUUUUUCUUGAUCUGUGGUUUUCUUAUAUAUCAUAAAAGUUACCUCGUCUCUCUCUAGGCUGUCAUUCUUGUUGUCAUAUAUUUUUGAUAGGUCCUGACGGCUGUUGGAUAAUGUGCUCCCGGUUACAUUAGGCGCUACGAAAUUUAAUAUGACGCUCAAGUAGUCAAAAAGGUUAAGACAAAGUUGCCAUUAUCAUCUGAAACAAACUUCAUGUAAUAGGUGUCAGUCGUAAUUUAUACAACACACUGAAAAAUGAUAACCAUGUUGAUAUGAGAUAGUUAUAACAUGAUUUAUGAUAACAGUAAGAUGAUAUAACUACUUAAAAUUGAUAUAAGAUGGUAAAUUAUUAUCUCAGGUUUCAUAAGCAUAUGUUUCAGCCUAAUGAUUUUCAGGAGUAAUUUGAUUUAUAAUUAACAAAGUUUUCUUUAAGAUUCAUUUAACAUCGGCGCCAUCUAUCAGCACAGAAUCUGUUCGUACUAUUACAGCCCAUUUGGCUAUUAGCCCUCAAAAACAUGCAUUUACCUCUUGGAAACAUUCUUCGGAGUAGUUAGGCAGGGGCCUGACAGCUGAGUGAGUAGCGCUUCAGAUUCGUAGUCCUGAGGUUGCGGGUUCGAUCCCCGGUAGAGGCGGAAACAAAUGGGGCAGUGUUUCAUUCACCCAGAUGCCCCUGUUACCUAGCAGUAAAUAGGUACCUGCGAGUUAGACAGCUGCUACGGGUCCCGAAAUCAUCUCAAGAUAACCCCAAGAUAGUUUUCCCCUCUGCGUCUGCAGGGAAAAGGGCUACAGUGUCACUGAGAACUAUCCCAUCCACUUAAAACUUGCAGGGAAGGUUAUCCUUGGUGGCCAUCAGAGCUCUGCCUGGGACCUCCAACACUCGUAUAACAUGCUUGCUUCCAUUUCUAACUCAUGAAACCACUGAUUGUACUCAGAUAAUCUCUCAUAGGCCACUUGCACUUUUUCAAACACCAAAACCCUUUAGAAAGGAGAGAGAGAGAGAGAGAGAGAGAGAGAGAGAGAGAGAGAGAGAGAGAGAGAGAGAGAGAGAGAGAGAGAGAGAGAGAGAGAGAGAGAGAGAGAGAGACGAACCAUAAUCAUGAGAGAGCAUCGUUACCUCCCCUAAUUUCUAAGUUAAUAAGUUGACAUUAAAUCAAUAAAGCUGUGGCUGAAGAAGAGGACUAACCAAGGUGUGGCUAGGGAAGAAGGAGGACUAACCAAGGUGUGGCUAGGGAAGGAGGAGGACUAGCCAAGGUGUGGCUAGGGAAGAAGGAGGACUAACCAAGGUGUGGCCAGGGAAGGAGGAGGACUAACCAAGGUGUGGCUAGGGAAGAAGGAGGACUAACCAAGGUGUGGCCAGGGAAGGAGGAGGACUAACCAAGGUGUGGCUAGGGAAGAAGGAGGACUAACCAAGGUGUGGCCAGGGAAGGAAGAGGACUAACCAAGGUGUGGCUAGGGAAGGAAGAGGACUAACCAAGGUGUGGCUAGGGAAGGAGGAGGACUAACCAAGGUGUGGCUAGGGAAGAAGGAGGACUAACCAAGGUGUGGCUAGGGAAGGAGGAGGACUAACCAAGGUGUGGCUAGGGAAGGAGGAGGACUAACCAAGGUGUGGCUAGGGAAGGAGGAGGACUAACCAAGGUGUGGCCAGGGAAGGAAGAGGACUAACCAAGGUGUGGCUAGGGAAGGAGGAGGACUAACCAAGGUGUGGCCAGGGAAGGAAGAGGACUAACCAAGGUGUGGCUAGGGAAGGAGGAAGACUAACCAAGGUGUGGCUAGGGAAGGAGGAGGACUAACCAAGGUGUGGUUGGGGGAGGGAAAGGAGGUGGAAUUUUAUGCUGCGAAUAUUGACUGGCUCAACGUGAGCCGAUUAUCGUAAAUCUUUCUCUUUGUCCCUAAUGUUUCCGGUCACCCACACGCGCACUUGAACACUUGCGUGCACUCAAACACUCUUCCGUGCACUCAAACACUCUUCCGUGCACUCAAACACUCUUCCGUGCACUAACUUCAUUUCAUAUACACUCAACAAUUUACUAAUUUACUUACCAAUUUUUAAUAUUCAUUCACGAUUUACUUUUUUUUACUCAAAAUACACUUAUUUAAUCACCAAUUUUCUAAUUUACAUAUUUACUCACCAAUUUUCUUAUGAACUCACCAUUUGGCUUAUUUACACAACAUUUUUCUCAUUUUUUUCCACCAAUUCAAGUAGUCACGAAUAUAUUUACAUUUUUGCUCAACAACUUACUUUUUCAGUAUUCAGUUUGCUUAUCUAAAGACUCUCUGAUAGGGAUACAACAUCUGAAAGUUGUAAUCAACACUUGCAAGUGCAACUUUGCAGCUGUUACUCGUUAAAUAAUAACUAAAUACGUAUAAUAAAGGGAGUAAUUUUCUUUAGUCAACCACGCAACUUGCUAAACUGAAGAGAGGUUUUUAGCGUAAGUUUCGGACAUGUAAAUUUGUGAGAGGGAAUGAGAAGUUGGACAUAUAAAUUGUGAUGGGAGGAGAUUAUUUAUAAGUUCUUUACUUAAGGGGAGAGAUUACUGGCCUCAGGCCAGGGUCGGCGAGUAGAAGAAAUCUUGAAACCCUCUCCAGGUAUGCUCCAGGUAUUUUGGUCUCACGUUCAUUCUGAAGUUGUACUGAUAAGGUAAAUAUAUUAUUUUGAAGUUAGAUAUUACGUUUAUAUUGACCAGGUUUUCAAUGAAUCAAUGGUUUGCUGUGUACUGCCCAGGCUUUCACCGAGUCAGGGCAUUGACUCUUGCAUUGACCAGACUUGAACUAACUACUUCAGAAGCUAUGUUGCUUAAACAAAACAAAAUUUUGUAUAUAAAUAUUGCAUAUUUAACGUAUAUUUUUGUUCAGCUUGUAAAUAUUUCAUGGCGCACUGUAAAAAAAAUUAUGGAGCAACAAAUUAAGAUCACACGGUCAAUUGAUAGAGAAACAGGCCAACAGCUUUGUACGAAAGUAAGAACAACAGACGAACAACUGAGUGUAACAAGAUCACAAGAUCAAAUGGUAGAGUAACUGGACCACAGCUUUAUGAGAGUGAAAGAACAUUAGAAGAACAAUGUAGUGUAACAAGACCACAAGAUCAACUGAAACAAGCCAUUUGGCCAUUCAAUAAUAAUAUGGCCACAAUUUUAAGUGAGAAUUUAACUGAGAAUUAAGAUUAUAAAGGAAGAACCGUCCAUUAAAUACCACAAGAGAGCAUCAUGUGAGGCUCGAACCCUUUUGCCUGCUAUUGAUGCCAGUAUUUCAUCACAUAAUUUCGUAGGUAAACUUUUUAAACUGUUUAUCUCUGUCUGCAAGAAUAGUUGAUUCGCCCAUUAUUCAAAGCAUCUUUUUAUAUUUGAAUUGUUCUAGGUUAUUUGUUAUUUAAUAUCAAUAUUUAUAGAAAUUAUUGACUAUAUAGAACAUCGUUUAUUUUGUAAUUCUUUCAUAGUCAUCUUAAUACAAUAAAAAAAAGCAUUUUUCUUUUAUUCUUUGUGUUUAGCUCACCAGAUUGAAGUUUCACUUUUCUCAUAACUAAAUUUUUUUGUCAACAACUAGUCCUGCAUGACACAGAAGUCGGUAAAUAGCUAAGCUUCAGGGUGAAUAGAAUAGAGCUUCAAUUUAUUUUUUCAAUAUCCGAGGGACAAGAUUUCCUCAAAGCCAACUUAAGCACAUUCUUUUGUCAGGAAAAAACCUUCACGUUCUGCUAUGUGUAUAUCCUUGUCGAUAUCGUUCUCUUGACAUAAUCAUUCUCUCUCUAAUGGUACAUAUAUAUAUUGGUGGUCAGUGUUUUUACUAUGCUCAGUGCUUUUCACGACAGAUGCAAUUUAUUUUUUUGGGUGACAACUCUGAGGAAUUUCCAUAUAUUAGUUUUUUCAACCAAAUGGUUGACCAUAGAUUGUGGUCCAUCAGUCAACCGUAGAUUAUGGUCUACUAGUUAUCCAUAGAUCACAAUCCACAGACUAUGGUUGCCCGGUUAAUUGUAGAUUACAGUCUUCUGGUUAUCCGUAGAUUGCGGUCUACCGGUUACGCGACCUCCCUAUCCCAGCUCCGGCUGAUACUCAGUGUCAGAAGGACAUUGGCUUUAUUCCUUCACGCAUUGGGCUAUCCGUCAACUCGGUAUCCGGAUAAAACGGGGGAUUUUAUCCGGAUAAGCGAGACUAGCUAACCACGUAUCCCCUCUCAUGAUUAGGGAAUAAGUGAUUGACUCUUCACUCAUCCGAGAAUAAUUAAAGGGCCCAAACUCAGGUAUUUAUUUGGUUAUGUUGAAGGGGCUUGAUGGAAAUGAGACCCAUUUUCCACUUUUAGUCAUUUCCACUGAGAUGACGACUUUGGAGAACACUGAAGCUAUGUGCAGUGAUAAUAUAUUUAUAUAUAUUCUCUGUAUAUGAGAAAUCGUAGCUUUCACAUUCUUCAAAGCUGUAAAAGAUUCAUUUCAUUUUGUAUUUUGCGCUGGGUCAGUGUACACUUAUGUUAUUGAACAAGAAUUCUUAACUCUAAGUAUAUUGAUGGCUUCGUGAAAUUUGCACAUGUCAGCCAGUUUAUACCAUGCCAUGAGUAAAUAUCAUUUCUGGGUCGUUUGAGACGUUGAGCCUCCUCGCGUGCACUUUGUACAACUUAUAUCACUUGUUCUCCUUAAUAAAGAUAUUACCACGUGUGCUGUAAAUAGCUUUUUGCCAACAGUCAUAGAUUUGUACAACAAAGAGGUGCUCGUCCACAUGCAUUGUUAAUAUAUAUAUAUAUACAACCCUUGGUGUAUGCUCAAAAUGUGUGCACUGUACGUGCACUGUACGUGUACUGCACGUGCACCGUCCGUGCUUGCAUGUGUGUGUGUAUGUUGUCUGUACGUUCCCUUUCUCCCGCACCGUGCCAGAGCCUGUGUAGGGGACGUGAGGGAUGUCUCACUACUCCUGCAGGUGAGGUAUGAUGUCUCACUACUCCUGCAGGCGAGGGGUGUUCUUAGUGUACUGGAGGAGGUCCACUCGACUCACUCUCCACUGCCUGGUUCAUCACACCCUUAGUGGAGUUUUGUAUAUCUAAAUUUGUAAUAAAAAUGAAGUCAG
rnacentral:lncRNA from 1 species